rnacentral:rRNA from 1 species
UACGUAGGGUGCAAGCGUUGUCCGGAAUUAUUGGGCGUAAAGAGCUCGUAGGCGGUCUGUCGCGUCGGCUGUGAAAACUAGGGGCUCAACCCCAAGCCUGCAGUCGAUACGGGCAGACUAGAGUGCGGUAGGGGAGACUGGAAUUCCUGGUGUAGCGGUGAAAUGCGCAGAUAUCAGGAGGAACACCGGUGGCGAAGGCGGGUCUCUGGGCCGUAACUGACGCUGAGGAGCGAAAGCGUGGGGAGCAAACAGG